rnacentral:lncRNA from 1 species
CAGCAGAGUGCAGCUGUCACUUGUCACUGGUGGAACCCGGAGGAGAAAUGACCUAGACUGAGCUAUACCAGAGCAGAAAACCGAAGAAGCCAGACCUCAGGAAUAGAAAAACGAGGGUCCUGUCUGGAAAGUCAGGUGGGCAUCAGAGAUGGCUGUGCUCCAGAAAUGCUGAUGAAUUUUGGAGGAUUAGUCAUUUUUGUCAAAUGGGUUUUAUGCUAUUGAUUGAGAAACCAAAGCAACAAUCAGAUGUUACUGGGAGCGGCACCAACAGUGUUCAUACUGGUUAAGGAUUUCCACGCGACAGAAAAUCAAACGCAAGCCAGCUUAAGCCAACCAAGGGAUUGCAUUGGCUCACAGCCUGAAAACUCCACAGCUUGAUCUGGAAUUUACACCCUCUUCAUGAUCCCAGCGCCAGGUCUGUUUUGUUCAUAAGGGCUGCCUCUUCUGUGUGCUGGCUUCUUGCUCAGGCUGGCACUUCUCUUGGUGGGACAAAUGGCUGAGGGAUUUUGGGCUUUCUGUGUUCUCCAAUACAUCAGCCAGGAAAAGAGGGAUUGUCUCCCCUGUGUUACAACAGAGGACUGAGGAAGCUUUUUCCCAGAAGCGCAAGUGAACGUUUCCUCAAACCUCAUUGGCCUGAAUCAGCCCAUAUGCCCACCCCUGAGCCAAUCACCCGGCCAGAUGAUGGGUGCUCUGAUUGACCGAAGCGCAGGAGGACCCACCCCUAGGAGCUGGCUGUAUCCACCUGCCAGAGAAGGGGGAGGCAGUGCGGAGGAGAGGGUUGCCUCCAGCUGCAGCGUUAUUCAUCUCUACUCCCAGCUCAAACAUCCCAACCAUCUCCACCCAAGAAAGUUGACUAACAGCUCAGCAUGUUCCUCAAAACAUGAUUACAAACUGUUUGGCGCUUUCCUAAAAGGUUAAACAGAGAACUACCAUGUGACCCAGCAAUUCUGCUCCCAUAUGUAUAUCCAAGAAAAUUGGAAGUGGAGACUCGAACAGAUUCUCGUAUACCAUUGUUCAUAGCAGCAUUAUUCAAAACAGCCAAAAGAUGGAAGCAACCUG